AAAAAAAAAAAUAAAUUGCAUAACAAUGGAAAGCUGCACCCACAUCCAAUUAUUGUGAGAUAAAGUUAGAAACAAUAGGUAAAAAUGACUGGAUUAGAGAUGAUUCAAAGCCAAACCCAUCUGGACUCCAAAAAUGCUGACAUUAAAGUCAAUAACAUAGUGAUUUUUUUUUCAGAAAAAGAAAAGGUUAAAUUUUGCACAUUAGAACUUGCAAUUUCACGCAACCCCAAAACAUAAAAAUAAUUUGAAACUCAAAUCCAAAUUACUCAAUCAGAGUUAUUCAGCUACCGAAACAAACACAGAAAGCAAAUCAGAAUAAAAUAAUGAUCA
rnacentral:misc_RNA from 1 species